rnacentral:rRNA from 1 species
GACGAACGCUGGCGGCGUGCUUAACACAUGCAAGUCGAACGGUGAUCUUGAGAGCUUGCUCUUGGGUGAUCAGUGGCGAACGGGUGAGUAACACGUGAGCAACCUGCCUCUGACUCUGGAAUAACUUCGGGAAACCGAAGCUAAUACCGGAUAUGACACAGAGCCGCAUGGUUUCUGUGUGGAAAGUUUUUCGGUUGGGGAUGGACUCGCGGCCUAUCAGCUUGUUGGUGAGGUAAUGGCUCACCAAGGCGACGACGGGUAGCCGGCCUGAGAGGGCGACCGGCCACACUGGGACUGAGACACGGCCCAGACUCCUACGGGAGGCAGCAGUGGGGAAUAUUGCACAAUGGGCGAAAGCCUGAUGCAGCGACGCCGCGUGAGGGAUGAAGGCCUUCGGGUUGUAACCUCUUCAGUAGGGAGAAGCGCAAGUGACGGUA